rnacentral:lncRNA from 1 species
GUUUAGUGUUACAUUUAUUGUUAGGAUUACUGUCAGGGUUAGUAUUAGGGCUAGGGUUAGGGUUAGUGAUAGGGUGAGAGUAAGGGUUAGGGUUAGGCUUAGAAUUAGGUUUAAUGUAAGGGUUAUGGUUAUUGGUAGAGUUAGUGUUAGUGAUAGUUUUAGGGUUAGGAUUAGGGUUUUGGUUAGGUUAGGGUGUGCUUUGUCUUAGGUUUAGGGUUAUGAUUAGGAUUAUUGAUAGGAUUAGGGUUAUGGUUAGUGUUAGGUUUAAAAUUAGGGUUAGGAUUAGUGUUAGUAUUAUAGUUAAUAUUGGGGUUAAGAUGAGGUUUUGUUUUAGGUUGAGGUUUAUGAUUAGGGUUAGUGUUUGGAUUAGGGAUAGUAGUAGGUUAAAUUUAGUGUUAAUGUUAGAGUUAGGGUUUGGUUUAGUGUUAUGUUUAGUUUUAGGAUUAGAGUUAGUGUUAGCAUAAGUUAAGGGUUAGGUUUAGUGUUAGAAUUAGGGUUCAGUUUAGGUUUAGGGGUAAUGUUAGGUUUAGGAUUAGGGUUAAGUUUAGGGUUACAGUUACUGAUAGGUUUAUGGUUUGGGUUAGGCAGGUGUUAGGGUUAGAGUUUGGAUUAGUGUUAGUGUAAGAAGUAGUGUUAGGAAUAGGGUUAGUGUUAAUGUUAGGGUUAGGUUUAGAUAUAGGUUAGGGUUAGGUUUUAUGUUAGGGUUAGUGGAAGGGAUAGUUAUGCGGAUAGGAUUGUGUUAGAAUUAGGCUUAGGUUUAUGAUUUAGAGUUAGGGUUAGUGUUAGGGUUAGGGUUAGGGAUCAGGAAAGGUUUACGGUUAGGGUUAGAGUUUGGGUUAGUGUCAGUGUAAGAAGUAGUGUUAGGAAUAGGGUUACUGUUAAUGUUAGGGUUAGGUUUAGAUAUAGGUUAGGGUUUGGUUUUAUGUUAGGGUUAGUGGAAGGGAUAGUUAUGCGGAUAGGAUUGUGUUAGAAUUACGCUUAGGUUUAUGAUUUAGAGUUAGGGUUAGUCUUAGGGUUAGGGUUAGUGAUCAGGUAAGGUUUAGGGUUAGGGUUAUGGUUAAGGUUAUGUUUAGGAUUAGU